rnacentral:tRNA from 1 species
GGGCGCUUAGCUCAGUUGGUAGAGCGCCUGCCUUACAAGCAGGAUGUCGGCGGUUCGACCCCGUCAGCGCCCACCA